rnacentral:rRNA from 1 species
AACUAACGCUGGCGGCGUGCCUAAUACAUGCAAGUCGAACGCGAAAGUCCUUCGGGAUGAGUAGAGUGGCGCACGGGUGAGAAACACGUGGGUAAUCUGCCCAGAAGUGGGGAAUAACUCCUCGAAAGAGGAGCUAAUACCGCAUAAGACCACGACAACUAAGGUUGUUGGGGUUAAAGGUGACCUCUGUUUACAAGUUAUCGUUUCUGGAUGAGCCUGCGCAACAUUAGCUAGUUGGUGGGGUAAUGGCCUACCAAGGCUACGAUGUUUAGCUGGGCUGAGAGGAUGAUCAGCCACACUGGAACUGAGACACGGUCCAGACUCCUACGGGAGGCAGCAGUAGGGAAUAUUGCUCAAUGGGGGAAACCCUGAAGCAGCAACGCCGCGUGAGUGAUGAAGGCCUUCGGGUCGUAAAGCUCUGUUGUACGGGGAGAACGUGGGUAUGGCUAACAUCCAUAUCCAGUGACGGUACCGUAUAAGAAAGGGACGGCUAAC